CCCACACCCAUGUAUGUAGGACCCCAAAAGAUCACCAUUAUAUUUGGCACAAAUCUCUAGAAAAGUUAUCACAUGGGUGUGGGACUUGACUUUUCUAGAGAUCUGUGUCAAAUUUAAUGGUGAUCCUUUGGGGUCCUACACACAUAGGUGUGGG
rnacentral:pre_miRNA from 1 species